GACGAACGCUGGCGGCAGGCCUAACACAUGCAAGUCGAGCGAGCGGCGGACGGGUGAGUAAUGUCUGGGAAACUGCCUGAUGGAGGGGGGUAACUACUGGAAACGGUAGCUAAUACCGCAUACCAUCAGAUGUGCCCAGGUGGGAUUAGCUAGGAGGUGGGGUGACGGCUCACCUAGGCGACGAUCCCUAGCUGGUCUGAGAGGAUGACCAGCCACACCGGAACAGAGACACGGUCCAGAGGCCUACGGGGGGCAGCAGUGGCGAAAAUUACACAAUGGGGGCAAGCCUGAUGCAGCCAUGCCGGGUGUGUGAAGAAGGCCGUCGGGUUGUAAAGCACUGUCAGCGGAGAGGCGUUACCCGCAGAAGAAGCACCGGCUGACUCCGUGCCAGCAGCCGCGGUAAUAC
rnacentral:rRNA from 1 species